rnacentral:lncRNA from 1 species
GUACCAGGUUUUCCUCAGGGGGAAGUGUUUCCAGGGGAUUAGUACCAGGUUUUCCUCAGGGGGAAGUGUUUCCAGGGGAUUAGUACCAGGUUUUCCUCAGGGGGAAGUGUUUCCAGGGGAUUAGUACCAGGUUUCUCAGGGAAGUUCCAGGGUUAGACCAGGUUUCCUCAGGGGAAGUGUUUCCAGGGGAUUAGUACCAGGUUUUCCUCAGGGGAAGUGUUCCAGGGGAUUAGUACCAGGUUUUCCUCAGGGGGAAAGUGUUUCCAGGGGAUUAGUACCAGGUUUUCCUCAGGGGGAAGCGUUUCCAGGGGAUUAGUACCAGGUUUUCCUCAGGGGAAGUGUUUCCAGGGAUUAGUACAGGUUUUCCUCGGGGAAAGCUUUCCAGGGAUUUUACCAGGUUUUCCUCAGGGGGAAAGCGUUUCCAGGGAUUAGUACCAGGUUUUCCUCAGGGGGAAGCGUUUCCAGGGGAUUAGUACCAGUUUUCUCGCGGGGAAAGUUUCCAGGGAUUAGUACCAGGUAUUCCUCAGCUGUGUCCCUGCGGGGGAAAGCGUUUCCAGGGAUAGUACCAGGUUGAAUAACUUGUGGCUGGCUGAAGUCAGAGCAGAGAACACUCUCCAGACAGUCAUAUCUUAUAAAAUCACUCGCAGCUAACGGGCCUCAGCAGCUCUGAGGUCCUGGGUUGGGAUAGGGUAGGCUUCCACCUGAAACCGGGCCCGUACAGCAGACGCCAGGUGACGUCAGGAGCUCUGAGAUCCUGGGUUGGAUAGGUUAAGGCUUCCCACCUGAAACAGGGGCCCGUACAGCAGGCGCCAGGUGAAGUCAGGAGCUCUGAGAUCCUGGUUGGAUAGUUAGGUUCCCACCUGAAACAGGGGCCCGUACAGCAGGUCCCAGGUGACGUCAGGAGCUCUGAGAUCCUGGUUGGGAUAGGGUUAAGGCUUCCCACCUGAAACAGGGCCCGUACAGCAGGCGCAGGUGAAGUCAGGUACCAGGUACUCACAUCUGCUCUAUGAUCCUGGGCUAAGGUUAGGGUAUAAGGUCAUUACAGGAUUCCCAGUUGCUUCAUGACAGCAGGUACAGACCUGAGGACAUACUGGGGCUUCAGAUAGCAGGACAAGCAGGUACAGACCUGAGGACAACUGGGGCUUCAGAGCGACAGCAGGUACAGACCUGAGGACAUACUGGGGCUUCAGGACAGCAGGUACAGACCCGAGGACAUACUGGGCUUCAGGACAGCAGGUACAGACCCGAGGACAUACUGGGGCUUCAGUACAGCUGGUACAGACCUAAGGACAUACUGGGGCUUCAGACAGCAGGUACAGACCUGAGGACAUGCUGGGGCAGCUGUACCAGCUGCUUUUUUUCUGUCACGAGUCACUAGAGACCUAAGCAGUUCACAUAUGAAAAGACACCAAAACGAACAUGCAGCUAACUGAGAUCCUUCCAUUCUACUCUGCUGAUUGGGUCAGGGAGGGAGAAGAGAACUGGGAACAGUUUGGGAUCUCCAUUCUAC